GAGUUUGAUCCUGGCUCAGGACGAACGCUGGCGGCGCGCCUAACACAUGCAAGUCGAACGGAGCUGAGAGGAGCUUGCUUUUCUUAGCUUAGUGGCGAACGGGUGAGUAACGCGUGAGUAACCUGCCCUGGAGUGGGGGACAACAGUUGGAAACGGCUGCUAAUACCGCAUAAGCCCACGAUCCGGCAUCGGAUUGAGGGAAAAGGAUUUAUUCGCUUCAGGAUGGACUCGCGUCCAAUUAGCUAGUUGGUGAGGUAACGGCCCACCAAGGCGACGAUUGGUAGCCGGACUGAGAGGUUGAACGGCCACAUUGGGACUGAGACACGGCCCAGACUCCUACGGGAGGCAGCAGUGGGGGAUAUUGCACAAUGGGGGAAACCCUGAUGCAGCGACGCCGCGUGGAGGAAGAAGGUCUUCGGAUUGUAAACUCCUGUUGUUGAGGAAGAUAAUGACGGUACUCAACAAGGAAGUGACGGCUAACUACGUGCCAGCCGCCGCGGUAAUUC
rnacentral:rRNA from 1 species